rnacentral:rRNA from 1 species
AGGACGAACGCUGGCGGCGCGCUUAACACAUGCAAGUCGAACGUGAAACCCGGGCUUGCCCGGGCGGAAAGUGGCGAACGGGUGCGUAACACGUGAGGAACGUGCCCCGAAGACCGGGAUAACCCGAGGAAACUCGAGCUAAUACCGGAUGUCCUCACCGGAUCGCAUGGUCUGGUGAGGAAAUGGAUUCCGCUUCGGGAUCGCCUCGCGGCCUAUCAGCUUGUUGGUGGGGUAACGGCCUACCAAGGCAACGACGGGUAGCUGGUCUGAGAGGAUGUCCAGCCACACUGGGACUGAGACACGGCCCAGACUCCUACGGGAGGCAGCAGUGGGGAAUCUUGCACAAUGGGCGAAAGCCUGAUGCAGCGACGCCGCGUGCGGGAUGAAGGCCCUCGGGUCGUAAACCGCUUUCAGCAGGGACGAUAGUGACGGUACCUGCAGAAGAAGCCCCGGCCAACUACGUGCCAGCAGCCGC